rnacentral:rRNA from 1 species
CCCCGAGAUGAGUUCUCCCUGAGACUUAGAGUCUACCUGAAGGAACGUUGAAGACGACGACGUUGAUAGGCCGGGUGUGUAAGCGCAGCGAUGCGUUGAGCUAACCGGUACUAAUGAACCGUGAGGCUUAACCUUAC